AUUGGCAAUGAGUUUCUGUGAAGCGGAGGCGUCACCGCGUUUCGUCUCGCUGUCUUGUUUGUCCCUCUGCGCACUCCUUACGUGUCAAUGUGGCUGUGUUGUUCUCAUGAUGUGUGCACUCCACAUCAAACUCUUAGUUAAUAAAAAGAAAGAAUAAUUAUGGGAGAUGAGCAUCCACUUCAGGGUAACAACACUAGCAGCUCCCGCGGUACUUUCUGCAACGCAGUGCCCGAUGAUUAUCAAUGUGAUGUGAUUCUUAAGGUGAAAAGAGCCACAGGGACAUUUUCACUAGUGGCAUGCCUUUUCAUGCUGUUUGCAAUAUGGCUGUUCCGCCGAUAUAACUCUUUGGCUCAGAAAAUGAUAUUCAAUCUGACAGUAGCUGCAGCUUUUGACAGUGUUGCUUAUGUUAUGGGAGAGUCUCAUGCAGAGGGGUCUCUGUGUAAUUUUCAAGCCUGGUGGCUCACAUAUUUUGACUGGACCGCACUGAUGUGGGUUUGUCUUAUUACAUUUAAUCUGUACCUGAACCUGGUGAGAGAAAUCAGAACUGAACCUUAUGAAAUACCGUAUCAUUUGGUGGCAUGGGGGGUUCCUCUGCUCAUGUCCACCCUCCCCCUGAUGGCUGGAUACUACGGCCCCGCUGGAGCCUGGUGUUGGAUCACAGAUAAUCAUGUCGGGUGGAGGUUUGGCAUAUGGUACAUUCCUCUGUUUAGCCUGAUUAUCCUCAUGACCUGCUGUUAUGCUCGAAUCAUCUGUGUGGCCAACGAGAGGAUGCGUUCCUGGUUAGGCACCUUUAACCCAGAAAGAGAGAGGAGGAAGAUCUCUCUAGCUGAAGAGAUCAGACCGUUGAAGUGGUAUCCCUCUGUCUAUCUGCUCGUCUCUAUCUUCCCUCUCAUAAAUCGACUUCAUAAUGCUGCUUACCCAGAGGGCCCUGUGUUUUCUCUGACGUUAUUGCAUGUGCUCAGUGCACCCUUGCAUGGGCUUGCAAAUGCUCUUGUCUUCGGUAAGGACACCUGGAGUCAGCUGAGUACAACAGGAAUAAAGAUGGCUGUCCAGUCUCGGCUAUGUGACAGCACAAUGAUUGGAGAGUACCAUGCUGCAAAUGUAAGAUACACACAUGACCUCGAUACACACUCCGAUUCCGAUGAUGAGGACAACAACAUCCUAUUUUACAGCCCGGACAUGAUCUUAAAAGAUAGGGGACCCUGGGAGAAUGUUUAGAAAGUGUGUGUGUGUGCGCGCACAUAUUUUUACAUUCUUAACCUUUAAAGAAUUUCUAUCAGUGUUUCCGUGUUGCAGCUUUCAUGUUGACACUUUAAUUAUAGCAUGUAUUAUUAUAGUUGGAAAACAGAAAAGAAAAUGGUUGAUAGUAUGUCUUCCUUUGCCAUUAAUGAUGGGAAGAAGCAUAAGAUUUUUUUGUACUGUAUUAAUGUGGAAAAGCUUUCAAUCAAGCUGUUUACCGCCUCAACAUAAUGUUUGUUGUAUAUAAUGGAAAUAAAGACUGCCUUUUCUAUUUCAUUCAGCUGAGUAUUUCAGACAUAUACUUUGAAAACAUUUGAGCAUGUUUUACUAUUAUAUUUAUGAAAAUGUACGCUAUAUUUUUGUAUUGCUUGCAGAUUCAACAAAUUUUAAAUACAAAUCUAGUAACAUUUAUUUUGUGUUUGUGUCUUG
ensembl:lncRNA cyclic AMP receptor-like protein A